GAGUUUGAUCCUGGCUCAGAUUGAACGCUGGCGGCAUGCCUUACACAUGCAAGUCGAACGGCAGCAUGAUCUAGCUUGCUAGAUUGAUGGCGAGUGGCGAACGGGUGAGUAAUACAUCGGAACGUGCCCUGUAGUGGGGGAUAACUAGUCGAAAGAUUAGCUAAUACCGCAUACGACCUGAGGGUGAAAGUGGGGGACCGCAAGGCCUCAUGCUAUAGGAGCGGCCGAUGUYUGAUUAGCUAGUUGGUGGGGUAAAGGCCCACCAAGGCGACGAUCAGUAGCUGGUYUGAGAGGACGAUCAGCCACACUGGGACUGAGACACGGCCCAGACUCCUACGGGAGGCAGCAGUGGGGAAUUUUGGACAAUGGGCGAAAGCCUGGUCCAGCAAUGCCGCGUGUGUGAAGAAGGCCUUCGGGUUGUAAAGCACUUUUGUCCGGAAAGAAAUGGCUYUGGUUAAUACCUGGGGUCGAUGACGUACUGAGAUAA
rnacentral:rRNA from 1 species